rnacentral:rRNA from 1 species
CCUACGGGAGGCAGCAGUGAGGAAUAUUGGUCAAUGGGCUUACGCCUGAACCAGCCAAGUCGCGUGAGGGAAGACUGCCCUAUGGGUUGUAAACCUCUUUUGUCAGGGAGAAACGCCGGCUACGUGUAGCCGGACUGAGAGUACCUGAAGAAAAAGCAUCGGCUAACUCCGUGCCAGCAGCCGCGGUAAUAGGGAGGAUGCGAGCGUUAUCCGGAUUGAUUGGGUUUCAAGGGUGCGUAGGCGGAAUGCCAAGUCAGCGGUAAAAUCGCGGGGCUCAACCUCGCUCCGCCGUUGAAACUGGCGUUCUUGAGUGGGCGAGAGGUAUGCGGAAUGCGUGGUGUAGCGGUGAAAUGCAUAGAUAUCACGAAGAACUCCGAUUGCGAAGGCAGCAUACCGGCGCCCAACUGACGCUGAAGCACGAAAGCGUGGGUAUCGAACAGGAUUAGAUACCCGAGUAGUC